rnacentral:rRNA from 1 species
GACGAACGCUGGCGGCGUGCUUAACACGUGCAAGUCGAACGGAAAGGCCCUGCUUUUGUGGGGUGCUCGAGUGGCGAACGGGUGAGUAACACGUGAGUAACCUGCCCUUGACUUUGGGAUAACUUCAGGAAACUGGGGCUAAUACCGGAUAGGAGCUCCUGCUGCAUGGUGGGGGUUGGAAAGUUUCGGCGGUUGGGGAUGGACUCGCGGCUUAUCAGCUUGUUGGUGGGGUAGUGGCUUACCAAGGCUUUGACGGGUAGCCGGCCUGAGAGGGUGACCGGCCACAUUGGGACUGAGAUACGGCCCAGACUUCUACGGGAGGCAGCAGUGGGGAAUAUUGCACAAUGGGCGGAAGCCUGAUGCAGCAACGCCGCGUGCGGGAUGACGGCCUUCGGGUUGUAAACCGCUUUCGCCUGUGACGAAGCGUGAGUGACGGUAAUGGGUAAAGAAGCACCGGCUAACUACGUG